UACGUAGGGGGCAAGCGUUAUCCGGAAUUACUGGGUGUAAAGGGAGCGUAGACGGUAAUGUAAGUCUGGAGUGAAAGGCGGGGGCCCAACCCCCGGACUGCUCUGGAAACUAUGUUACUAGAGUGCAGGAGAGGUAAGCGGAAUUCCUUGUGUAGCGGUGAAAUGCGUAGAUAUUAGGAGGAACACCAGUGGCGAAGGCGGCUUACUGGACUGUAACUGACGUUGAGGCUCGAAAGCGUGGGGAGCAAACAGG
rnacentral:rRNA from 1 species